UGCCCCUGUUGACCAGCACUACAGGAUCUCAUCAAGCAGAGACGGGAGAAUCAAAUAAAAACAUUCCCUCAGCAUCAGCACUUUCCGUGGAUAGAGGAGGAAUUGUUCUCCCAAUGGUACAGGGGUUUUGUAAAGUGUCCAUCCCUGGAAGUCUUUGGGUCGUCCAGCCUGGGCACAGCGCUCUAAACUUAUCUGGCUGGGAAGUAGAUGUGGAGUGAUGGAAUCAUGGAUUAAACAAGAUCAUGUAGGCAAAAACACUCACCACAGUGCCUGGCCCACGGUAGGUACUCUAUAUGUGUUACUGGAAUUUAAUUUAAAAUGGAAACAUAGGAUUUUAGUUCUGUAAAGGCACUUCAAAAUUCUUGGCUCAAACUCUCCAUUUUACAGGUGAAGAAAUUGGACCCAGAGAGUUGAAGUAGAUUGCCCAGAGUCAUAUGGGGCGUGAUCUGGAGUCCAGUUUCCAGAACUCCCUGGAGGAUUCACGAGCCUCAGACAAUGAAGUGCCUCAUCUGGAGAGAAAGGAGGAGCACAGGGGUCACCAGAGUCCAUCUGGCUGCAGUGACCUUGGAGUGACUAUAGCUGCUUACUCCUGUUGACUGAAGCCACUCAGCAGGGCUCAA
rnacentral:lncRNA from 1 species